GAUGAACGCUGGCGGCGUGCCUAAUACAUGCAAGUCGAGCGGAAGGACGAGAAGCUUGCGUCACUGAUGUUAGCGGCGGACGGGUGAGUAACACGUGGAUAACCUACCUAUAAGACUGGAAUAACUGCGGGAAACCGGAGCUAAGACCGGAUAAUAUUUUGAACCGCAUGGUUCAAAAGUGAAAGCCGGUCUUGCUGUCACUUAUAGCUGGAUCCGCGCUGUAUUAGCUAGUUGCUAAGGUAACGGCUUACGAAGGCAACGAUGGGUAGCCGAACUGAGAGGGUGAUCGGCCACAUGGGAGGUUGGACACGGACCAGACUCCUACGGGAGGGAGCAGUCGGCAAUGGUAGGCAGUGGGCGGAAACCUGGCGGAACAGCGCCGCGUGAGUGAUGGAGGUCCUCCGAGCGUAAAGCUCGGUUAUGAGGGAUGAACAUAUUUGGAAGUGGCCGUACACAUCUUGACGGUACCUAAUCAGAAAGCCACGGCUAACUACGUG
rnacentral:rRNA from 1 species